AAUUCGAUUGAGUUUGAUCAUGGCUCAGAACGAACGCUGGCGGCAGGCCUAACACAUGCAAGUCGAACGCCGUAGCAAUACGGAGUGGCAGACGGGUGAGUAACGCGUGGGAACAUACCCCUCGGUUCGGAAUAACUCAGGGAAACAUGAGCUAAUACCGGAUACGUCCGAGGUUUUAAUCGACCUCGGAGAAAGAUUUAUCGCCGGAGGAUUGGCCCGCGUCUGAUUAGCUUGUUGGUGAGGUCAUGGCUCACCAAGGCGACGAUCAGUAGCUGGUCUGAGAGGAUGAUCAGCCACAUUGGGACUGAGACACGGCCCAAACUCCUACGGGAGGCAGCAGUGGGGAAUAUUGGACAAUGGGCGAAAGCCUGAUCCAGCCAUGCCGCGUGAGUGAUGAAGGCCUUAGGGUUGUAAAGCUCUUUUACCCGGGAAGAUAAUGACGGUACCGGGAGAAUAAGCCCCGGCUAACUUCGUGCCAGCAGCCGCGGUAAUACGAAGGGGGCUAGCGUUGUUCGGAAUUACUGGGCGUAAAGCGCACGUAGGCGGAUCUUUAAGUCAGGGGUGAAAUCCCGAGGCUCAACCUCGGAACUGCCUUUGAUACUGGGGGAUAUAGAGUCCGGGAGAGGUGAGUGGAACUGCGGGUGUAGAGGUGAAAUUCGUAGAUAUUCGCAAGAACACCAGUGGCGAAGGCGGCUCACUGGCCCGGUACUGACGCUGAGGUGCGAAAGCGUGGGGAGCAAACAGGAUUAGAUA
rnacentral:rRNA from 1 species